rnacentral:lncRNA from 1 species
AUAAAGCUUUAUAUUUAGGAGUAUCAACAUAUCAAUGAUUAGUAAAGAAGGCGAGACAUUUCAGCGUGUGCACUCUUGUACUUAGGUUUGGGAACGACUUAUAAUAAGUCAAUGGUAUUUGGUAUGCAGUUGUAUAAGCAUUGGCACAUCUCAUUUACAUGGAGAUUGUUUAGCCAUGUAACUCAGUCAUGGUUCAUUGACUUUGAAUAUUUGCAUAACUUGUGUAAGAUGUUAAAGUAUUGCUAUUUUGAUUUCAACAUUUGCAUAAUCAAAAUUACAAAA